GAAAAUGGGUAUCGCAGAGGGUUUUGGCCGUUUUGGCCAUUUUCCCGAACCCGGAUGCUCGGCCCGCUUUGAGGAAAGUCGAUCCUCGCGUCGAGCCCGUCGUUUUGUGACCUGGAUGAGGAGCCUAAGGAGCAUGAAUCUGACGAGGAGAUCCUUGUUGAGGAACCCGAAGAGGAGUACGUGGAGGAGGACCCCGAGUACGACCCGGAUGAGGACCGAAAUCCUAUCCUGUCUUGUCAAACCUUGUUUGCUUGUAAAAAGUUGUCGUCGUGAAUUUUCAGUGAGAAAAUGUAUGGCCUGCUUUUCUA